rnacentral:rRNA from 1 species
CUGCUGCCUUCCGUAGGAGUCUGGGCCGUGUCUCAGUCCCAGUGUGGGGGGCCUUCCUCUCAGAACCCCUACGCAUCGUCGCCACGGUGGGCCGUCACCCCGCCGUCUAGCUAAUGCGCCGCAUGCCCAUCCUCCGCCGGAAUCGCUUCCUCUUAACACCCGUGGGAUGCCCCACAGAUGUACCACGCGGUAUUAGUCCGGAUUUCUCCGGGUUAUCCCCCUGCGGAGGGCAGGUUGCAUACGUGUUACUCACCCGUGCGCCGGUCG